UGGGGAAUUUUGGACAAUGGGCGAAAGCCUGAUCCAGCAAUGCCGCGUGUGUGAAGAAGGCCUUCGGGUUGUAAAGCACUUUUGUCCGGAAAGAAAUCCUUGGCUCUAAUACAGUCGGGGGAUGACGGUACCGGAAGAAUAAGCACCGGCUAACUACGUGCCAGCAGCCGCGGUAAUACGUAGGGUGCAAGCGUUAAUCGGAAUUACUGGGCGUAAAGCGUGCGCAGGCGGUUUGCUAAGACCGAUGUGAAAUCCCCGGGCUCAACCUGGGAACUGCAUUGGUGACUGGCAGGCUAGAGUAUGGCAGAGGGGGGUAGAAUUCCACGUGUAGCAGUGAAAUGCGUAGAGAUGUGGAGGAAUACCGAUGGCGAAGGCAGCCCCCUGGGCCAAUACUGACGCUCAUGCACGAAAGCGUGGGGAGCAAACAGGAUUAGAUACCCUGGUAGUCCACGCCCUAAACGAUGUCAACUAGUUGUUGGGGAUUCAUUUCCUUAGUAACGUAGCUAACGCGUGAAGUUGACCGCCUGGGGAGUACGGUCGCAAGAUUAAAACUUAAAUGAAUUGACGGGGU
rnacentral:rRNA from 1 species